CGGAAUGGUGGGGAAAGGGAGACCAGGGAGCCAGGAGAGGGUGGUCAACAGGAAAGUGGUAUAUUUACCAGCACAAAGGAAACAAGGCCUGAAAUGAUAUAGUACCAGCAGAACUGCUCCUGUUGGUGGAUUGUUACAUUGCCCCAAGAAAUGGCUGCAGAAUGGAGUCAUGACUUCCGAUUAGACCACAAAAGGAAGUCAUCCAAAGGUGUAAAUUUCAGCGAUACAGGAACCUCAAAGGGCAGUAACUCCUAUACAAGUGUCAUGUUUCUGAUUUUCCUUGGGUUGACUGGAUAAUCAGUAGGUCUUCGAGGUGAUACUCUGUUCUGAUGCACCUUAUAAGGUACCUGUGGAUAAUUAACAAACAAUUAUGUAUUAGAUUAUAUCCGAAUGAAAUCCAUGCAGUGUCCCACUCCAAACCCAAGUAUAAAGUAAAACAGCAUCGGGAAGAAAGAAUACACUUAUGUAUGUUUCACAUGUGACACACUGAUUGUAGGACUGACAAUUCUGGCAUUUGUUAAUUAAUCAUUUGCAGUCUGAGAGCUGCUAGUACACCCUUGUAAUCUGUACCCCUUUCAGCAAAAAAUGAUUGAAAUACCUCUUCUCUUAUCUUUUUUACUGAAGCUAUUCAACAAGCUGAAAUAAAAGUAGGACUUCUGGCAUUGUUCUCUUAAUACUAAAAUUAAAAAUAUUAAACAUGCCAACCAAAGGGAAGCAAUAUUUUAGAAGUAGAUCACCUGACUUUGCAGUGUUGAUUUAGGGUGGGAUUUUCAAAAGGCAUUGGCCUACCUCUGCUCCCAUCGUAGGCAAUGGGAAUUUUACAAUUGAUCACAGUGGGGCCAGAGUUAGGUCUGUGCUGAGCGCUUUUGGAAAUCCUCCCCUAGAAGAUUUGUGGUUAGUAUAACAGACUUCCAUUCUUAAUUACGUAUGAGUCUGUGCAAAUAUCAUAUGAAAGAGAAAAGACGAGGUAGAAUAAGACUCAAAAUCCUCAGCUACUGCAACCAAGACAUAUGUACUUCAGAUUGUUAAACCUCAAAAAAAUACAGAGGUUUAAGAAAAUAGUUACGUAUUAAGGAGCUCCAAAGACAAGAAAUUACUGCAAAAUUAUAAUUGUGCAACUUCACAAAUGUAGUUUCACAAUUGUAAACUAUCAGGGAAUUAUAGCCAAUGACCCAGGUCCUCGACUAUGGCUGAGGAGCAUACAGUGCAAAUCAGGACAGGUGGAACAAAAAAAAGUUGGCUUUGGGCUCCCCAAACCCUGGACAAUCUGUGUGCCAGUAUAGUCCCCGGUUGACUAGCAAUGAUUGACUCAUAAUAGGUCUGACCAUAAGUCCACUGAAGUCAAUGGGAGUCUCUCCAUUCACUUCAGUGGGGCUUUGGAUCAUACCCAAGAUGAGGAAACUGGAUCUCAGCUACUGAAUAGUCUUCCUGUGGUUUGCUUGAGUCUAAAGUGUAAGUGCAUGAAAUCUAUGUUCUUUUGGUAUUCUGCCUGUAUUUAACAUCUUAAAUAAUGCAUCUGGUACAUAUGAAUUAUUUAAUAGGUCAUAGAAGGAAAUGUUAGAUAACAAAUGUGGACAAUAUUGCUCCAGUAUAUAGCUUUGGAUUUAAUGGCUCCCAGCACCUCAAAGAAAACCACAGGAUAAAUAUAAUUAUUCCAGGAACAUGUCAUAAGUUUCAAACAUGAGUCUGUUUCUUUUUUCUUCUGCAUCACUGAAACAUACAUUAGUUGCCAAAUUUACCCACGUUUAUUAACUAUUUAUUUCAAUGGAGAGUGAGUAGUGCUUUCAGAAGUGACUAGGUGGCCCAUCUCUGCUCCAGAGACCCUUUCAGGGACCUUUUUGCUGGUCCCUGCUGAUCUUAGCCUCUUGCAAUUUAGCAACAGUCUGAGGACUUUGUCUAUCUCCCUCAGCAGAGUCAUUGCUCACUUGUAAUUUCCAGAGCACAGAGGAUCUUUCCUUUGGUCUGUGGUACCUAUGAGAAGAAUAGCUGAUAGCAAUUGUUCAGGUUAUGGCCAAACAAUAUUGGGCAUUUCUUGAUACUUCAGUUAUAGGUAUGGUCAUUAUGUCAGACCAUCUGAGACAAGUCACGUAAAUAAAAGUGCAGGAUCGCUAUCUGCAGAAAAAUUUACAGAUUUAUAAAAGAAAUGGUGCAGAUAUAGCUGAAAAAAUUGGAAGGCAAAUGUUAUGUUUGCAGAACGCAGCCACCUGCUUCUCAGAUAUUCUGGGCUGCCCAUCUAAUAUAAAUCAUAUUGAAAAGAUUAAACUUAUAGUGGGGAGGUUCAGUUUGUUUGUUUGUUGCACGUAAUAACCAUGAAGUCUCAAAUAGAGACAGAACAGAAUUGCAUAGUUCAAAACUGGCUCUGAACUUUCCCAACAUAUGGAAUUUCUUAAAAGCUGAUGUUUAGCAAAGUGUAGACCCGUGACAUUUCCGUAGUUUUGUUGCACCAAAAUAUUUCAAUGUGUUUGACUUUAUUAAAAAAGUCAAUUGCACAAAACAUUACUGUAGUAUUAUUGUAAGAUAUAGGGUUUGGGACCAUUAUUAGUGUAAGGGAAAAUUGAGUAGGCCCAAACUUUGACCAAGAUAACUUUGAUUAAAAUAACUGUGUACAAGGGGCAGGAGAGAGAGAAUGAAAAAUGCCAGUCUUGCGAAAUGUAACUGUAAUCGCUAGAAGCCUUAACCGCAAAAGUACAACCUGAUAAUAAACAGGAAAGCUUGUUGCUUUUGUAUUCCUAAUAAGGAGCUGUUUUUCUGUUUAAAAGGAUAUUAUGAAUGAAAAGUGUGUUUGACUAAAUAUGGUUUUAAGCUAUAUAAGCUUCUGUGUUCCUUUGUUAAACAGACCAGCUAGGCUGGCUGUGUCUCCCUGCAUGCUUGUAAUAAAAGAGCCUCAGGCUGUUCUGAUCCAAACACAAUGUGUGGUAAUUUUUCCACAUCAUUAGACAAUGCCAUAGUAGAGUCAGUUUUUGCUGGUGGUGGUGGCUGUUUUAUUAAGGGUGAACUGACAGAGGCAGUCUUGAAUAAUGUUAUGGCCAGAUUGCCCUGGUACUAGGGCUCGUAGAUAGGGAAGGGGAAGGGGAGUCUUCUAUUGCCUUGGAAAUCCCAUCCAAAGGUAUGGACAAUUGCAGUUCCUCCCUCUCCACCCAGAAAAGGCUGGGGCAGUAUGUGCACUCCCACUGCAGGCACUAUAGAAAGGGAUUAUGCCCCUAAAAGCACAAUGGGCCUGCUUCACUAUUGCCCUGCAUCUUGUGUAUACAUUUACACCAGUUCCAAGUGAAUGAAAAGUGCGUGUAAAAGGC